rnacentral:lncRNA from 1 species
AUGUCCCCCGCGCAGCGCGACAGGUCGGCGAGCUGCGCCAGCAGGCAGACCAGGGCGUGCGAGCUGACCUGCUCCAGCGAGCGGAAGAGCGGCGCGCCCGCGGCCCCGGCCGCCUCGGGCCGGCGCAGCCGCGCGGGCUCCACGGUCCUCUGGUGGAAGGGCAUGGCGAGGGGCGGGGGGCCCGGGUUCGCGGCGCCGCGGGCCGCCCGGGGCGAGCGCAGCCCUCAGUCCACCCCCCGUCGGCGCGGGGCGCGAGUGCGCAUCCAACACAAAGGAAAGUCCGGGCAGCGGCGGGGCGCCGAGGGGCUGCCCCGGUGGCUCCUGCCACGGGGAGGAGGCGAGGCGGGCAGGAAGGACCGACCGACGGACGCGCGGGCGGCCGGGCGGGCGGGGGAGCCCGGGCGGCCGCGGGGAAGGGCUCCGGAGGGUCGCGGCCGCGGCUGCCUGGGGCCCGGCCGCGUCCUCCCACCGCCGGGGUGCGCGGGGCCGCGCGGCGAAAGGAAGUUCAAGGAGCAGCUCCUGGGCGCGGGGCGCGGUGGCCACGGCGGCGAGUGGAGACGGGAGUCCCGCUCAAGUUUGCAGGGAGGCAGGAAAGAGCCGGCGGCUCCUUCCCUCCCUCCCGAUUGGAGAGGGAGGAGGAAGCGGGGGAAGUGCCGCCGACACCGGGCGCGAGGGAGGGGAGGCGAAAGAAAGGAAAGGGGGAGGAGAAAAGGGCCGGCCCGGGGAACCACCUGCGGCUCUCGCGGCCGCCGCGCCCAGCGCCUGAGGGGAGGCGGCGGCCCCGCGCCCCAGCGGGGCUCGCCGCGGCGGCCCGGGGCGCACGGUCCGGGGGCUCCCAGCUCGCCGCCCCGCUUCCCUCCAAAGCCCACGGGCGUUUGGGCAGAGCCCUCGCCCGCCCCCGGGGCCCGGCGCGGGGAGGGGUGGAGCGCAGCGCGGGCGCCGCGGAGGCGGAGGCGCCGGGGACGGCGCGGCGAACCCCGCUCGGGCUGCUCACCUGCGCUCCGGCCCGCGGCGGCCGUGAGUCAGGCGCGCCCCGCCGCGCGAGGAACGCUCGGGGCCUCCGAGGGUCCCCCGGGCUCUCCCAGCCCCACCUUGGAAGUCGGCCAAGGCUUCUGGCGGCUUGGGUGGACCCGAAGGAGAACAUCAUUAAAUCGCACAGCGGCCAGGGGGUUCUGUAGCCGACUAGGAGUCCGAGUCCCCAUCCGAUAA